GAUGAACGCUAGCGGCAGGCCUAAUACAUGCAAGUCGAACGGUCCACUUCGGUGGAUAGUGGCGCACGGGUGCGUAACACGUAUGCAACCUACCUUACAUUGGGGGAUAGCCUUUCGAAAGGGAGAUUAAUACCGCAUAAGACAGUAACAUGGCAUCAUGUAGCUGUUAAAGAUUUAUCGAUGUAAGCUGGGCAUGCGUCCAAUUAGUUAGUUGGUGAGGUAAUGGCUCACCAAGACGAUGAUUGGUAGGGGAACUGAGAGGUCAAUCCCCCACACUGGCACUGAGAUACGGGCCAGACUCCUACGGGAGGCAGAAGUAGGGAAUAUUGGGCAAUGGACGCAAGUCUGACCCAGCCAUGCCGCGUGCAGGAAGAAGGCGUUCUGCGUUGUAAACUGCUUUUAUAUAGGAAGAAACGACCCUUGCGAGGGGCAUUGACGGUAUUAUAUGAAUAAGCACCGGCUAACUCCGUGCCAGCCGCCGCCGUAACAC
rnacentral:rRNA from 1 species